CCGUCCGCAGCUGGCCAGCGAAUGUAAAGACAGGACUAAGCAUGUAGUGCCGAGGAUGUAGGAAUUUCGGACGCGGGUUCAACUCCCGCCAGCUCCACCA
rnacentral:tmRNA from 1 species